GACGAACGCUGGCGGCGUGCCUAAUACAUGCCAGUAGAACGCUGAAGGAGGAGCUUGCUUCUCCGGAUGAGUUGCGAACGGGUGAGUAACGCGUAGGUAACCUGCCUGGUAGCGGGGGAUAACUAUUGGAAACGAUAGCUAAUACUGCAUAAGAGUAGAUGUCGCAUGACAUUUGCUUAAAAGGUGCAACUGCACCACUACCAGAUGGACCUGCGUUGUAUUAGCUAGUUGGUGAGGUAACGGCUCACCAAGGCAACGAUACAUAGCCGACCUGAGAGGGUGAUCGGCCACACUGGGACUGAGACACGGCCCAGACUCCUACGGGAGGCAGCAGUAGGGAAUCGUCGGCAAUGGACGGAAGUCUGACCGAGCAACGCCGCGUGAGUGAAGAAGGUUGUCGGAUCGUAAAGCUCUGUUGUAAGAGAAGAACGAGUGUGAGAGUGGAAAGUUCACACUGUGACGGUAUCUUACCAGAAAGGGACGGCUAACUACGUG
rnacentral:rRNA from 1 species